AUUAUUAAAGGGCCGCGGUAUUCCUGACCGUGCGAAGGUAGCAUAAUCAUUAGUCUUUUAAUUGAAGGCUUGUAUGAAAGGUUGGACGAAAAAUGGACUGUUUCAAAUAAAAAGAUUGAAUUUAACUUUUAAGUGAAAAGGCUUAAAUAAAUUAAAAAGACGAUAAGACCCUAUAAAUCUUUACAUUUGUUAUUAUAGGUUUUGGAUUGUGUGUGUAAAAAAAAAUAUAAUAAAAAUGUUGUGUUGGGGCAACAGUGAUAUAGUAAUAUUAAUUGUUAAAAAUAAAAACAAAUAUAUUUGUUAAAUAAAGAUCCUUUUUAAAGAUUUAAAGAUUAAGUUACUUUAGGGAUAACAGCGUUAUUUUUUCUGAGAGUUCUUAUCGAAGAAAAAGAUUGCGACCUCGAUGUUGAAUUAAAAAUUCUUUUUAAUGCAGCAGUUAAAAAAGAAAGUCUGUUCGACUUUUAAAUUUUUACAUGAUUUGAGUUCAGACCGGCGUGAGCCA
rnacentral:rRNA from 1 species